AUUGAACGCUGGCGGCAGGCCUAACACAUGCAAGUCGAGCGAGCGGCGGACGGGUUAGUAAUGUAUGGGGACUGCCCGAUAGAUGGGUAUAACUACUGGAAACGGUUGCUACUACCGCAUACUAUCGGAUAACCCAUAUGGGGUUAGCUAGUGGGUGGGGUAAAGGCUCACCUAGGCGACGAUCUGUAGCUGGUCUGAGAGGAUGAUCAGCCACACUGGGACUGAGACACGGCCCAGACUCCGACGGAGGCAGCAGUGGGGAAGAUUGGACAAUGGGCGAAAGCCUGAUGCAGCCAUGCCGCGUGUAUGAAGAAGGCCUUAGGGUUGUAAAGUACUUUCAGCGGGGAGGCGUUACCCGCAGAAGAAGCACCGGCUAACUCCGUGCCAGCAGCCGCGGUAAUAC
rnacentral:rRNA from 1 species